GAUGAACGCUGGCGGCGUGCUUAACACACGCAAGUCGAACGAUGAUGCCCAGCUUGCUGGGUGGAUUAGUGGCGAACGGGUGAGUAACACGUGAGUAACCUGCCCUUGACUCUGGGAUAAGCCUGGGAAACUGGGUCUAAUACCGGAUACGACCAUCUGGCGCAUGUCAUGGUGGUGGAAAGCUUUUGUGGUUUUGGAUGGACUCGCGGCCUAUCAGCUUGUUGGUGGGGUAAUGGCCUACCAAGGCGACGACGGGUAGCCGGCCUGAGAGGGUGACCGGCCACACUGGGACUGAGACACGGCCCAGACUCCUACGGGAGGCAGCAGUGGGGAAUAUUGCACAAUGGGCGCAAGCCUGAUGCAGCGACGCCGCGUGAGGGAUGACGGCCUUCGGGUUGUAAACCUCUUUCAGUAGGGAAGAAGCGAAAGUGACGGUACCUGCAGAAGAAGCGCCGGCUAACUACGUG
rnacentral:rRNA from 1 species